AUGCUUAACACAUGCAAGUCGAACGGAGACAUUGUAGCAAUACGAUGUUCUUAGUGGCGAACGGGUGAGUAACGCGUUGGUGACCUGCCCCGAAGAGGGGGAUAACAGUCCGAAAGGACUGCUAAUACCCCAUGUGGUCUCAGGGAUUAGAUGCCCUGAGUCUAAAGGAGUAAUCCACUUUGGGAGGGACCUGCGUCCCAUCAGCUAGUUGGUAAGGUAACGGCCUACCAAGGCUUCGACGGGUAGGGGACCUGAGAGGGUGGCCCCCCACAAUGGAACUGAAACACGGUCCAUACACCUACGGGUGGCAGCAGUAGGGAAUAUUGGUAAUGGGCGAAAGCCCGAACCAGCAACGCCGCGUGUGCGAUGAAGGCCUUCGGGUCGUAAAGCACUUUUUGAGAAGAUGAUAAAAGACAGUACUCUCAGAAUAAGUCUCGGCUAACUACGUGCCAGCAGCAGCGGUAACACGUAGGAGACAAGCGUUAUCCGGAUUUACUGGGCGUAAAGCGCGUGCAGGCGGUUUGGAAAGUUGGAUGUGAAAGCUCCCGGCUUAACUGGGAGAGGUCAUUCAAAACUACCAGACUUGAGAGUGGUAGAGGAAGGUGGAAUUCCGGGUGUAGUGGUGAAAUGCGUAGAUAUCUGAAGGAACACCAGUGG
rnacentral:rRNA from 1 species